rnacentral:rRNA from 1 species
GAACGAACGCUGGCGGCAGGCUUAACACAUGCAAGUCGAGCGCCUCGCAAGAGGAGCGGGCAGACGGGUGAGUAACGCGUGGGAAUCUACCCAUCUCUACGGAACAACUCCGGGAAACUGGAGCUAAUACCGUAUACGUCCUUCGGGAGAAAGAUUUAUCGGAGAUGGAUGAGCCCGCGUUGGAUUAGCUAGUUGGUGGGGUAAUGGCCUACCAAGGCGACGAUCCAUAGCUGGUCUGAGAGGAUGAUUAGCCACACUGGGACUGAGACACGGCCCAGACUCCUACGGGAGGCAGCAGUGGG